rnacentral:rRNA from 1 species
GGAAUUUUGCGCAAUGGGGGAAACCCUGACGCAGCAAUACCGCGUGUGGGAUGAAGGCCUUCGGGUCAUAAACCACUUUUUUCGGGGACGAUAAUGACGGUACCCGAAGAAUAAGCCACGGCUAACUACGUGCCAGCAGCCGCGGUAAUACGUAGGUGGCAAGCGUUGUCCGGAUUUACUGGGCGUAAAGCGCGCGCAGGCGGUGAAUGAAGUCGAAAGUGAGAGCCCCGAGCUCAACUCGGGAACUGCUUUCGAAACCAGUUCACUUGAAGGUGGAAGAGGGAAGUGGAAUUCCGAGUGUAGCGGUGGAAUGCGUAGAUAUUCGGAGGAACACCAGAGGCGAAGGCGACUUCCUGGUCCAAUCUUGACGCUGAGGCGCGAAAGCUAGGGGAGCAAACAGGAUUAGAUAUCCUGGUAGUCCUAGCUGUAAACGAUGGAUACUAGGUGUUGGAGGUUUUAACCCCUUCGGCGCCGCAGCUAACGCAUUAAGUAUCCCGCCUGGGGAGUACGGCCGCAAGGCUAAAACUCAAAGGAAUUGACGG